GAAAGUUGCAAGUACAGGGUUUUCAAAUUAAUAGCCGAAAAAUAAUUUAUUUCUUCUUCAGAUACAGACAGAUAAAUUUAUUCAGAGCCUGAGGCUGUGAUGUCUGAGAAGGACAAAAUUUUAUUUUGACAUAGUCCCUCAAACCAGAAUGAAAGUGACCUUGAUUCAGCUUGAAUCUUUACUUUUCUUGUUACAUUUGUGCUGUUGGGUUAACUAAUAUAGAGGAAAAAUUUUCAGAAUGGGGUUGCCAUGUUAAUGACACGGUUGUUGUCUCAAUGUCUUAUAUUCACACACACACACACACACACACACACACACACACACACACACACACACACACACGUAAAUACCAUUAGAGUAAGGUGGUGCAUCUGGACCUUCUAACUGGUCAUAUAUGCAUGCUUCCCUGGAAGGCACAUGUUCUGGGUGGAGAGGGUACAGUGAGAUGAUUGGCUGAGGGCCUGUUGGCCCUUCAAUCAAGCCUCUCUCCUGAGUAGAAUCAGUAGUUCCAGCUUGAGCAAGCUCUUCUAGCUGUCUUGGCCUUUCCCUACUCACUGUAAGUGGGAGAAAAGAUUCCAUUAUUUGUGUAUCUGUCAAGAGAAAAAAAAACAGCAAUUGUUAUCUGUGUUGAGAAGCUUCCAGAUGUGGAUGUUGUGAACACUCUAUCACUUCACUCAAAGCAAUAAAAGAUUGGAAAUAUGAGGCUGUGUUUAUAUUCUUUAGUGCAUAGCCUCUUUUAUGGCUUGUUCAGAUUAAUUAUUAAGGGGUGCAGACUCCCAACAUCAAAGCCCAGGAAGGAAGCUUUAGGCACUGGCAUCUUUGAUAGCAAGUAUCCUGAUACAGAGAUCCUAAAAAGGUCUGGCUUUAACUGGUCCUUUCCUAGGCUCUUGGAUUCAUUUUUUAAAUCAUAAAAACCAUUACCUAUUAUAUUAGUUACUUUUCUGUUGCAAUGAUAAAAUACAUGAGCAAGGCAACUUAUAGAAGGAAUUUAUUUUAGCUUAAGCUUGCAGAGAGAAAAGAACCCAUGAUGUCAGAGCAGAGGCAUGGUGGCUGGAGCGGGAAGCUGAGGCCUCACAUCUUGGACUGUGAGAAUGGAACAUGGAGCACUCACUAGAAAUGAUAUGAGUCUCUAAACUCUCAAAUCCCACGCCCAGUGACAUACUUACCAUAGCAAGGCCACACUUCCUAAACAUACUCAAAUAGUGCUACCAAGUUGGGAUCAAGUAUCCAAAUAUUUGAGACUCUGAGGGACAUCUCAUUCAAAAUACCGUGUGUGUGUGUGUGUGUGUGUGUGUGUGUGUGUGUGUGUGUGUUUCUAUGAUACUCUGUCCUCUCUACUUCUUGGCCUCUACUUUCUUCCCCUGUCUCUGAACUUUCCAGAACAGCUUUCCCAAAACAAUUAAAAGGUUUUUAGCAACAAAAAUCAUUGGCAGAUCAUACCAUGGAGCUCAUCAGAUUUUUCUUUAGUAAAUAAAGUUUUAGUGGAAGACAGCCACUGCCACUGAUUUUCAUUUCAUCCGUGGUUGUCUUUGUGAUUUAGUGGCAGGCUUGAGUAGUAGUGAGGCAUACCAUAUUAAAGAGAGACUAAAAUGUUUACUAUCCAGCCCAUUUUAGAAUAAAUUGAGCAAUUACUGUUCCUUUUAUAGCUUUUACUAAAUAUGUGCUUAGCCCAAAGAUAGCAUAUGUCUAGUAUGCUCUUGUUUCCAUUUAGAGGCCAUAUCAGGGCUGAUACUUAGCUUAUCAUCCUUCGAGGCUUUGGGAUACAUGGAAGGUUGGCACAGGUUGAAAGGCCAGAGAGUCUUGUCUUUCUGUUGCUAGUUUGUGGUCUAAUGAGCUACUGAGGAUUUUAGGCUUCCUCUUUAUCAUCCCAGAAACAGUGAUAGCAGCAAUACGCCAUGUCAAGACUAUUGUGAGUGUUUUAAAUAAGAUAAUGUAUUUUAAGUAUUAGAUGUGUGUCCCAACCUGGGGCAAGAGAGUCAGGGAUAGGAAUGGGGACAAAAGACGAAGAAAGAAAAACCACAAGACAAGAUUCUGAUCAAGUGGCAAACUUUACUUUUCUCUCAAGCUAGCUCAUAUAGUUGGCAGAACAGGAUAUGGGAGGGGUAGAAUGGGUUGUUUGUGAGCUAGGUGUUAGUGUAGGUGGGAUAUUAGGAAGCCACAAAGAGGAUGUUUGGCAGGGUAAAGAAUUUAUGAGUAACCAGGAAGGGUUGCUUAGGUGACUGAGCCUGUGGGUGGAGGACUGGGUCAGGUUGUUUCUUUUUUUGAGCUGAGGUUCGAAGGAGCUGCUAUGUAAAGGUUAACUAUGUGGCCUGCCAAGCAUGACUUAGGAUCUCAUGCCAAGCCCUGAGAUUUGGCUCCCAACAGAUGUGGGUCUGGAGACAUGGCAAAUAAUCCAAAAAUUGUUGACAAUUGAUGUUAGCCCACUGUGAUUACAUCUUGUUCCUGUCCUUUUUCUCAAUUUAUCCAAUUUCUUUAAUGAUUAAUAUAUUUUCCUAUUAACAUAUUAAUACAUGAUUAACAUAUUUCAUGGUUAAUAUGUUA
rnacentral:lncRNA from 1 species